GAGUUUAGUAAUGCUCGAUCUAUUCAGCUAUGUGAAGAAGAGGCGGAGCAUUAACACCAUUCACAUAAAAGUAACAUUUAACUUUGGUGACACCUUGAGCAAGAGCUCACACCUCUCACAUCAGUGCUCGGUGCAGUUUGACAAGGACCAGCCAGUUUAAUGAGGCACAGCUCUUCUGUUCUUUGUCAUUGUUCUGGGGUUGAAUGCACAGACUCAUACAGAUAUCACAUCACUCCCUGUCACUUCAAGUAUUUCUUCAGAUGAGUCUCACACAUCUCCUCAAACACCUCCUACAACAGCCCCUGCCAUUACAAGCUCUGGAUCUCAAAUAACAGCCACUGCCACUACAAGCUCUCCUUUAAACGAAUCUCAAACGUCAGUUCCUGCAACAACCUCUGCCACUGCAAGCUUUCCUUCAACUGAGUCUCAAACAUCAGCUCCUACAACAGCCACUGCCACUAUAAGCUCUCCUUUAAACGAGUCUCAAACAUCUGCUCCUACAACAACCUCUGCCACUGCAAGCUUUCCUUCAACUGAGUCUCAAACAUCAGCUCCUACAACAGCCACUGCCACUACAAUCUCUCCUUUAAACGAGGCUCAAACAUCAGCUCCUACAACAGCCUCUGCCACUGAAAGCUCUCCUUCAACUGAGUCUCAAACAUCAUCUCCUACAACAGCCAAUGCCACUACAAGCUCUCCUUUAAAUGAUUCUCAAACAUCAGCUCCUACAAUCUCUGUCACUGAAAGCUCUCCUUCAACUGAGUUUCAAACAUCAGCUCCUACAACAGCCAAUGCCACUACAAGCUCUCAUUUAAACAAGUCUCAAACAUCAGCUCCUACAACAGCAACUGCCACUACAAGCUCUCCUUUAAACGAGUCUCAAACAUCAGCUCCUACAACAGCCAAUGCCACUACAAGCUCUCCUUUAAACAAGUCUCAAACAUCAUCUCCUACAACAGCCCCUGCCACAAGCUCUCUUUUAACUGAGUCUCAAACAUCAGCUCCUACAACUCCUUCCACUACAAGCUCUCUUUCAACUGAGUAUCAAACAUCAGCUCCUACAACUCCUACCACUACAAGAUCUACUUCAAAUGAGUCUGAAAUAUCAACUUCUACAUCUACUUCCACUACAUGCUCUCCUUCAACUGAGUAUCAAACAUCAGUUCCUACAAGUUCCCCGAACACAGAGUCUAUCACUUCCACUGGGUAUGUUGGCAUAGUUUUGGGAGUGAUCUGUUUUCUCUUCAUCAUCACUCUCAUUCUUUUCUUCUAUUCAAGAAGACCGACCAAAAACGAAUGUCCAGGCAUCCCCAUACACACCAUUAGGUAAACUUUGUUUUAGAUCUUUAUAGUUGAAUAUUUAUUUUACAAAACUUAAAAUUGUUAAUGCAUU
rnacentral:lncRNA from 12 species